GCUAGGGCUGCCAUGAAAAAGUACCAUAAACUGAGUGGCUUAAGCAAAGAAAUUGUCUCAGUUCAGAAGUCUGGAAGUCUGAGAUCAAGCUGUCCCUGGGGCUGGUUCCUUCUGAGGGCUGUGAGGAAGAAUCUGCUCCAGGCCUCCCCGCUGGCUUCUGGUGGUUUCCUGGCAAUCUUUGCUGUUCCUUGGCUUACUGAAGCAUCACUCCGAUCUCUGCCUUCAUCUUCACUUGUGUACUCCCUGUGUAUGUGGGACUGUGCCCAAACUUCCCCUUUUUAUAAGGACAUUAGUCACAUCGACCCAUUCCAGUAUGACUUCAUUUUAACAUCACUAAUUACAUCUGUUAUGACCCUAUUUCCAAGUGAGUUCACAUCCUGAGGUACUGGGGGUUAGGACGUCAACAUAUGAAUUUGAGGAGGACACAAUUCAAUCACAACAUCUCCCAUCCUGGACUAGUAGGCACCAGAAACACUUGAGUUUGGUGCGUCCAUGUCAGCCCAGGCCAGCGUGCCACCCUCUGCAGGCUGGGUGCACAGAAGCAUUCCUGCCAUGGCAGUCACAUCAAGAGUGGAGUUGACUGUCCAAUAGAGUCACAGCCUGAAAUGAUACCAGCAGGGUCAUCCAUGGUGGACAGGUUUCAGCGGAGCUUAAGAAUAAGGAAGAAGGAGCUGGCCACCCACUUCCCAAAAUGUUGGCCAUGAAAACCCUGUGAAUAGCAG
rnacentral:lncRNA from 1 species